UAUAAUCUUCAGGGCAGGGUGUGAUUCCCUACCGGCGGUAAAGCCCGCGAGCCUAAUAAGGCAUGAUUCGGUUAGAUUCCGAAGCCGACAGUAAAGUCUGGAUGAAAGAAGAUGGCA
rnacentral:ncRNA from 2 species